UUGAACGCUGGCGGCAGGCCUAACACAUGCAAGUCGAGCGGAUGAAGGGAGCUUGCUCCUGGAUUCAGCGGCGGACGGGUGAGUAAUGCCUAGGAAUCUGCCUGGUAGUGGGGGAUAACGUCCGGAAACGGGCGCUAAUACCGCAUACGUCCUGAGGGAGAAAGUGGGGGAUCUUCGGACCUCACGCUAUCAGAUGAGCCUAGGUCGGAUUAGCUAGUUGGUGGGGUAAAGGCCUACCAAGGCGACGAUCCGUAACUGGUCUGAGAGGAUGAUCAGCCACACUGGAACUGAGACACGGUCCAGACUCCUACGGGAGGCAGCAGUGGGGAAUAUUGGACAAUGGGCGAAAGCCUGAUCCAGCCAUGCCGCGUGUGUGAAGAAGGUCUUCGGAUUGUAAAGCACUUUAAGCUGGGAGGAAGGGCAGUAAGUUAAUACCUUGCUGUUUUGACGUUACCAACAGAAUAAGCACCGGCUAACUUCGUG
rnacentral:rRNA from 1 species